AACGAACGCUGGCGGCAUGCCUAACACAUGCAAGUCGAACGAAGGCUUCGGCCUUAGUGGCGCACGGGUGCGUAACGCGUGGGAAUCUGCCCCUCGGUUCGGAAUAACUCAGAGAAAUUUGAGCUAAUACCGGAUAAUGACUUCGGUCCAAAGAUUUAUCGCCGAGGGAUGAGCCCGCGUAGGAUUAGCUAGUUGGUGGGGUAAAGGCCUACCAAGGCGACGAUCCUUAGCUGGUCUGAGAGGAUGAUCAGCCACACUGAGACUGAGACACGGCCCAGACUCCUACGGGAGGCAGCAGUGGGGAAUAUUGGACAAUGGGCGAAAGCCUGAUCCAGCAAUGCCGCGCGAGUGAUGAAGGCCUUAGGGUUGUAAAGCUCUUUUACCCGGGAUGAUAAUGACAGUACCGGGAGAAUAAGCUCCGGCUAACUCCGUGCCAGCAGCCGCGGUAAAG
rnacentral:rRNA from 1 species